UACGUAGGCAGCGAGCGUUGUUCGGAGUUACUGGGCGUAAAGCGCACGUAGGCGGCUUUGUAAGUUAGAGGUGAAAGCCCAGGGCUCAACCCUGGAAUUGCCUUUAAGACUGCAUCGCUUGAACAUCGGAGAGGUAAGUGGAAUUCCGAGUGUAGAGGUGAAAUUCGUAGAUAUUCGGAAGAACACCAGUGGCGAAGGCGACUCACUGGACACGUAUUGACGCUGAGGUGCGAAAGCGUGGGGAGCAAACAGG
rnacentral:rRNA from 1 species